GAGAAGAUAAUUGAACCAAGUCCAAUUUGUGAAUGAAGAGUAAAAGCAAGCAAGAGAAUCCAAUGUGAAAUUGGUCAACAAUAGCAAGCUCUGCUUGAACCAUCAUGCACUAGUAAUUCAGCUCCACUACUACGAGGAAAUUUCACCAUUUAUGCCACGAGAGUGACUUAAGCCGUACUAGCCUUCAACUUCUCGUGCUGUGUCGACAGCUCAAGUCCCUCUGGAGCCAGUUUUUCUAUCAGCAUCUGAACUGACGCACCGAGCACCGCCUCGCCGAUGAAUGACAUUUUUUUUUUUUUGGCAGAAACUGCAGAUAUCGAACAAAGUCUAGUAUGUGAUUUUGGUUUGUGAAAUGUUGUACAAAAAAACAGAGCUUUACUGACCAACACACCACCAUGCACCAAUAAUUCAGCUAGCGACGACCAAAACACCACCGCGUCAAUCCACGCGCUUCUGCCACUAAAUUCAAGCAUGAGUAAUUC
rnacentral:lncRNA from 1 species